UGAACUUGAAAUCUCGUGCCUUAUUCUUUCCUGGGGACUGGUGUUGGAUAUUGAACGGGCGGAGUGACCGCCGGGAUGAUGGAUGAAGGAGAUGAUGGCCUAAACUUGGCUGCGCGCAUUCUCAUUUUCGCGUGGCCUGCCACUUGUGUUUCGCAGAUUCACGAAGGGUGUCACAGGCAUAGCUGGAGGAAGAAAGGUUUUCUGGCUGAUUCCUCCGACCCCAAUCAAUCUUCAGAUCUAUGAGCAGUGGGUGUUGUCGGGUAAACAGCAGGAUAUAUUCCUGGGUGACAUGGUCGAGAAGUGUGCCCGCGUCGAAUUGAAACCAGGCUGGACUUUUGUCAUUCCUACUGGCUGGAUUCAUGCAGUUCACACUCCUGUGGAUUCGCUAGUGUUUGGUGGAAACUUUCUGCACAGUUUCAACAUAAGCGGUCAGCUUGCCGUGGCGGACAUUGAAGAAACUACUA